AAAAUAGUUGUUUGUGGACCAAUAAAAAGCACAGAAUGUAGAAGAGGACAGCCUGAGCUUUGUAUUCACGUACAACUUUACGUAAAAAACAUUACAUUGUGUGGUCGCUAGGAGCUUGAGAGUAUUAGGUUCCGGUUGCGCUGAAAAUAAACGCAUGUUUGUGAGGAGAAGUGAGCAGGGGAAUAAAGCACUUUUUGGAUAUUUUAUCUGCGGUUCAGUGCUGUAUUGUGGAUGCUGUGAUGCAGAAAAAGAAACCCACGCAGACAUGGACAUGGGGAGCACACAGAAACUUCACCAAAAAUGAAAGUGCAAUUAUGGAUACAGGAAUACACAUGCAUCCGAUUUGUUUUCAGCCCAGGCAGAAAAGGCAGUCAGUCUGUAUUUCUGUCUUCAGCAUAUGGACACAUGGAGGCCUAAUUUCUGCAUCACAUUAACAUGGUAUGUUUGACUGAAGCUUAAGAGCUUAGACUACGUUCACACAUAUUCAGAUUCUGUGUGUUUU
rnacentral:lncRNA from 1 species